CUUACUGCCAUUCAGACAGCCCCACUCAGUAGAAUUUCAGUACAUAAAAUAUUGUAGAAUAUGUCAUAUAUAUUCUGUAAAUUUUAUCAUACAAAGUGACGCUAAUAAAAAUUAAGCUAACAAUAAUAUAUAUUGAUUUAUUAAUCAAGCAUAUUGACUAUUUAUCAAUUCAAAUAAUAAAUAGUAACUUAUUUUAAAAAAAAAAAACAAACGUAAUCAAAUUUUUCUUUACGUUUUUCUCGUCAUGUAACAAGUGUUUGUGUGCCUCAAUAAUAAUUGGAUUAUAGCAGUUUUUUUUUUUAACAUACAAAGACAUAUUAUUAAAAAAUUUUAAAAAUACCAAUAUUACUGAUGAUUAUAUAAAAAAAAAGGAUGACUUGAAAAAAACUGAUGCAACUUUAUGGAAUGUUUAUUUUUGUUAAUACAAUUAUAAAUUAAUAAAAUAAUUUCAACGAUUUCAUGAUAAAAAUAUUUAAAAAAAAUGGCUAUCAAGAUAAAUCUUUUUUUAUCUACAUUUUGUUUGACAACAAUAUUUUUGGUAUCAGCAGUACUUGAAGGACCAAAUGUUUGUGUAAGACAAGAAAAUUAUACAGUUACUGUUAACAUCUCAGAACAAAAACCUUACAAGGCAAGAACAACCACUUGGUGCGUGGCUUUUCCUCCAAAGUGUUCAUCUUAUAAAACGAUAGUUAGAACUGUUUAUACAACUCAGGUUCUACAAAAACAAAGACCAGUUGAAGAAUGUUGCAAAGGAUAUGGUGAAACAGCCACUGGUGAUAAAUGUGUUCCAAUUUGUUCUCAAGACUGUAAACAUGGAUCUUGUAUAGCACCAGAUUCAUGUAUUUGUGAAGCAGGAUAUGGUGGCUCAGCUUGUGACACUAAAUGUCCAAAAGGCACAUGGGGUUCAAGAUGUAUUCAUAAAUGUGAUUGUUCAAAUGAUACUAACUGUAAUCCAUUUGAUGGAAAAUGCGAUUGCACAGAAAAUUGUGAAGAUAAAUAUUAUAGUCCAAAUUUCAGUAAAGGAUUUUGUAAUUGUAAAAAUGAAAAUUAUGUUUGUCAUCCAACUGAUGGUUGUGUAUGUAUGUAUGGUUAUACUGGAUCAACAUGUGAAGAGCCAUUAUUCAUUGCAACAAAUGUAUUACAACAAAAAUCUGAAUCAAGUUAUAGUGGUGUAUUUGUUGCUGCAUUAUUUUCAGCAUGUCUUGCAAUUUCAAUAUUAGUUGCUGGAUUAAUGUAUCAUCGUCGACGAGUAGCUGAUUUAAAAUUAGAAAUAGCACAUGUACAGUAUAUUGCUGAACCAGUUAUAUCACCAGAUAGUAAUCAUUUUGAUAAUCCAGUUUAUUCAUAUCAAAGUUCUGGAAAAACAGAUGAUGGAACAAUAAAUCUUUUAAAUAAUGGCCUUAUUAGAAAUAAUUUAUGUAUGAAAAGUGUCAAUACUCAAAAAGCUAAGUUUGACUCAUUUAAUAAUGUUGAUGAAGAUAAUGCAACAUGCAAAGAAUCAUACAGUAAUCAUAAUCAAACAACAUCAAUGAAAAAUAAAGAUGCUGAUAUUGGAAAUCCAAAUAUUAAUGUUUAUCAUAGUAUUGAUGAAAUGGAUACUAAAAAAAUUAUUAAUGAACCACUUUAUGAUGAAAUUAAACAAAAUAAUAAUGAUUUUGUUUAUGAUCAUCUUGAUUAUGCACGUUCAAGUGCUUGGAAACCUCAUUAUCAAAGAAUGUUCAAUGGAUCAAAUUCCAGUAGUAGUAAAGAUGGAAGUGGAAGCAGUAAAUCAAGCCAGCAUGAUCUCGAAAAUGGUGGUCCUUAAUUUUUUUAUCAAUUAGAAAAAUAAGGCUCAUUUAUUUUUCUAUCUAUGAUAAAGCUUCAAAAUAUUUUUCUAUAAAUUGUGCAAUUAGUGAUUAAUAUAUUUUACUACUACUCAUAAAAGCACUAAGAUAUUUUUGCAAACAAUAAUUUAAUUUCAAGGCAUGUAAAUAUCAAAAAUUUCUACCUGAAAUUUAUAUGAUUAAUUUUUUUUUUUUUCUAUUUUAUUUUAUCGUUAUUAUUAUAAUUAAAUUUUUUUUCGACAUAAUACUGAUCAAGAAUAUAUAUAUACAUAAAAGAGUAUUUUAUAGUAUAUAAAUACGUAUCACUGUGAAAAUUUAUUUUUAAAAAUAAUCUAAUGAUUCAGAUGCAUACACGAACAAAGAGGAAAUGAUGCAUGUUUUAUUGUUUUAUUGUGAUUUUAUUACUAACUUGAUUUACUAUUAUUAUUUUUAAAUUUAUUAUUAUUUUGUAAAUAUAUUUUUUACUAUUACAUAUUAUAUUCUUUAUUUAUCGACAAAUAUUUUGAACUAAUCUAUUUUAAAAAUUAAUUAACUACGUUUAUAUAUAGACAUUAACUGAAAUCAUUCCAGCAUUAAUUUGGUCAAAUCAUGUGUAUUUAUUAAAACUAAAGUAUUUCAAUUUUAUUACUAUAAUAAUUAUCAAUAUACAUUACUUUUAAUCAACAAUAUAAAUAAUAAUAGUUAAACAAGUGAUUCAAAAAAAAAAAAGAAAAAAAAAAUAGUUUUAUUGAAUUACACAGCGAAAUAUAUAUCACAAUUAAAUCGACAAUUAAUUUUAAACUUUAGACACUACAACUUUUUAUGAUGAUAAUAAUAUUUUUUUUUUUUUUUUUUUUUCGAAAAAUAUAUUUUAUCUUUUGUGUAGUGUUGAAUCAAUAAUAUACUAGCUUUUUUUUAUUGUAUUGAAAAUGAGGAUAAAAAAAAUUCCUUAAAAUCAAAUUAUAUCUCUUGACAUAUAUAUACUUUAUUAUUAUUAUUAUUAUUAUUUCUAUGACAUCUGCAUUUACAUAUAUUUAGAUGUUUUUUUUUUGUGCUUUAAUUUAAAAUAAAGAGAAGAAAAAAAAUGAUAUUCACUGUUGAGUAUGCAUAAAUUAAUAAACAAAUGGGUAAUUAAAUUAUAAUAUGACAAAUUUAAAAAGAAAUAGUAUUAGAUGUUGAUAAUUUUUAAUCAACAAUUACAGAUAAUGUCAAAACAGGAAACAUCCUCUUUUUAUUAGAAAGAAAUAUGCAUGGAUGACAAAGGCUAGAUUUAGAACUUGUUGGCCAACUCAAUUAGUCACAUCAAAGUGAUGAUAUAUUUCAGCAAGUUUGAACAUUAGUUAUUAUAUUUUUUGAGUAUUGAUUGUAAUGAAAUAUCAAAUUUUAAUUAAUAAUAUAACAAAACAAAAAAAAAGAAAAAGUAUAUUGAUGUAUUGGGAUAGUUUUAUAUUUUAAAUAUUCUGGAAAUAAAAGUUAUUAAAUCUUAUUAUGGCUAUCAGGAUAAAUGUUUUUUUAUAUACAUUUAGUUUGACUACAAUAUUUUUGGUAUCAGGAGUACUUGAAGGACCAAAUGUUUGUGUAAGACAAGAAAAUUAUACAGUUACUGUUAACAUCUCACAACAAAAAUCUUACAAGGCAAGACAAAACACUUGGUGCAUGGUUUUUACUCUAAAGUGUUCAACUUAUAAAACGAUAGUCAGAACUGUUUAUACAACUCAGGUUCUACAAAAACAAAGACCAGUUGAAGAAUGUUGCAAAGGAUAUGGUAAAACAGCCACUGGUGAUGAAUGUGUUCCAAUAUGUUCUCAAGACUGUAAACAUGGAUCUUGUAUAGCACCAGAUUCAUGUAUUUGUGAAGCAGGAUAUGGUGGUUCAGCUUGUGACACUAGCAAGUAUGCCAGUGUAACAUCUGAGCCUGUAAAUUUGAAUAUUGAUAGAAAGGAAUCUGAUGAAGAACAUGAUUAUGAAGUGCCUUAUUUCUAUAACAAUGAUAACGAUUACAAUCAUCUUGAUCAUGCACGGUCACAAAACAAUCGAAAAUCCAAC
rnacentral:misc_RNA from 1 species